ensembl:lncRNA
GUCGCGGCAGGAACAACAUACAAAAUAUGACAAUUGCACCUCAGGCUGUUUUAGGUAAAACUUUCCAUUGACGUGAACCAAUCAGAUGAGGGUUGGCGUCUGCAUUAAGACCCUCACCAGUGUCACUUAUUCACAAUAUUGACUGAGAUGGAGAGGCCAAGACUUGCUCUUAUCGCACUCAUGUUUUUACUGUUUCAUCAGAAAUUAAUCUUUGGAGAAGAAGUGGAGAUGAAAGUCAGACCAGGAGACAACAUCACUCUCUACUGUGAUCGCUCUGUAACUCUUGGUUCUGUUGUUGUAUGGAUAAGAAACUGCUCUCAUGAAAGUCAACCUUCUCUCAUAAUAGAUUAUAAGAAACUGGAACUGGAGAUAUUUCAGCGAUUCAGCUUUAUCCACAACACCUAUAAUAAUUCUCAUGAUCUACAUAUCACUAAUAUCAGUGUCUCUGAUCUGGGACUGUACUACUGUGCAAAAGUAGAGAAAAAGGUAAAUCAAGAUGAAAAAGGCAUCCUCUCCCGGUCUGAGGUGUACUAUUAUGGAAACCAAACAACUCGUCUUUCUCUGAAAGUGAAUUCCUGUUCUGGACCCCUGAACACCACCUCCACACCACCUCCUGUAUCAGACUGUCUGCUCUGCUGGACGCUGCUGUUCAGUGUGUGUCCAGUGUGUUGUCUCUUCUCCUCCAUCUGUGUAUUCUGCCUCUGUUGUAGGAAAACUACAGAUUCUGCAACUGAUCAAAAACUCAAGCAGAAAGGUAGAAAUAUUAUUGAGGAAAAUUAUGAUACCGAGGUGUGUUAUGCAUCUGUGGACUUGAUGACCAGGAGACAAAACCGACACAAGAAAACACAAGCGCCAAGUUCAGAUUUCACUACUUACGCUCCUAUCCGAACAGAAGCUGAAUAGAUUAGAAAGCUGGAGGAGAAAAGAAUCUUUGGAGAAGAAGUGGAGAUGAAAGUCAGACCAGGAGACAACAUCACUCUCUACUGUGAUCGCUCUGUAACCCUUGGUUCCAAAAUUGUAUGGAUAAGAAACUGCUCUCAUGAAAAUCAGCCUUCUCUCAUAAUAGAUUAUAAGAAACUGUACCUGGAGAUAUUUCAGCGAUUCAGCUUUAUCCACAACCCUUACAGUAAAUCCUACGAUUUACAUAUUACUAACAUCAGUGUCUCUGAUCUGGGACUGUACUACUGUGCAAAACUAGAGAAUAAUAUAAGGAAAGAUGCAAAAGGCAUCAUUUUCUCAUCAGAAGUGUACUAUUAUGGAAACCAAACUCGUCUCUCUCUGAAAGUUGAGCAAGUAUCUUCCUGUUCUGGACCCUUGAAUACUACCUCAAUACCACCUCCUGUAUCAGACUGUGUGCUCUGCUGGACGCUGCUGUUCAGUGUGUGUCCAGUGUGUGUUCUCCUUUCCUCCAUCUGUGUGUACUGUGUCUGUUGUAAGAAAACUACAGAUGCUGUGACAGAUCAGAAAGACAAGUUAAAAGGUAGAAACAGAGCUGAGUGCAUGGAUGAAGAGGUGUGUUAUGCAUCUUUAGAUGUGACCAUCAAGAGACAAAAACAAUGCAAGAAAAAGCGAGUGCAGAGUUCUGACUUCAGUACUUACGCUCAGGUCAGAACACAGACUGAAUAGACGUAAACAGAACAGAGGUGGAUUCUGAAACUUUCCAAAUAUAAGGAAAUCUGCAGGUUUUAUUGUCAUGUAACAUCACAUGUAAUCGUACAAGGUAGAGGACUUUUUAUUAUUACAUUUGAAAGUAAAAUAUAUGUAAUUACAUACUUGGAUACCUUUUACAUUGAUAUUUUUAUGAGCUAAAAAAUUCUAACCUGAAUUGUUACUCUGGUACUCAUUUUUUUCCCACCUCUAAUAGAAGUGUGUUAGUACAGUCUUUGUGGAAACACAGUGAUGAUCUGAAUAACAGGAUGUGCAAGUAGGUUACCUUUGUGAAGUGGUGUUUAGUUUAAGGUGUGUAUAUUUUUCUUAAACUGA